rnacentral:rRNA from 1 species
GGAAUUUUCCGCAAUGGGCGAAAGCCUGACGGAGCAACGCCGCGUGAGGGAUGAAGGCCUCUGGGCUGUAAACCUCUUUUAUCAAGGAAGAAGAUCUGACGGUACUUGAUGAAUAAGCCACGGCUAAUUCCGUGCCAGCAGCCGCGGUAAUACGGGAGUGGCAAGCGCUAUCCGGAAUUAUUGGGCGUAAAGCGUCCGCAGGCGGUCUGUCAAGUCUGCUGUUAAAGCGUGGAGCUUAACUCCAUUUCGGCAGUGGAAACUGACAGACUAGAGUGUGGUAGGGGCAGAGGGAAUUCCCGGUGUAGCGGUGAAAUGCGUAGAUAUCGGGAAGAACACCAGUGGCGAAGGCGCUCUGCUGGGCCAUAACUGACGCUCAUGGACGAAAGCCAGGGGAGCGAAAGGGAUUAGAUACCCCUGUAGUC